rnacentral:rRNA from 1 species
UACGUAGGGGGCUAGCGUUGUCCGGAAUCAUUGGGCGUAAAGCGCGCGUAGGUGGCUAGAUAAGUCCGGUGUGAAAUCCUUCGGCUUAACCGGGGAAUGGCAUCGGGGACUGUUUAGCUAGAGUACGGGAGAGGAGAGCGGAAUUCCCGGUGUAGCGGUGAAAUGCGUAGAGAUCGGGAGGAAGGCCGGUGGCGAAGGCGGCUCUCUGGACCGACCCUGACGCUGAGGCGCGAAAGCGUGGGGAGCAAACGGG